AGGAUCGAGCUUUAUAGGUAAAAGGAAAGAAUAGUGAAGGUUGUGGCGGAAUCGGUUCUUGGUCAUCCUACCAGUGGGGUAGAGGUGAUUCCAACUAGAAAAGAUUAUGAAAAUAGAUUGUGGAGACCCAACCUUACUUUCCGGUAUACAAACCCUCUGCGUGCAUAAUGAAAAAUCAACGUGGCGGAUGAACAGGAAGCUCCUAAGAACCCCAACGAGAAAAUGGGAGUUUUUAAGAACUCGCUCUCUAGUCACGCUCUGGUCUCAACAUGCUGGGCCGAGGAAGUGUCCGAUUUCCAACAUCCCCCUACCAUC
rnacentral:lncRNA from 1 species